rfam:Atta colombica isolate Treedump-2 unplaced genomic scaffold scaffold403, whole genome shotgun sequence.
GGAUUAGUAACUUAAUUAGGUAAAGGAUUUCCCUGUCACGGAAAUAGAUGUGGGUUCGAUUCCCACCUGAUUCG